UUGCUGUAACAACAAAUUCCAAUUCAAUUAGUUUCACUUUAUCUAGUCGUGUUGUGUAUAGAAUUAUAGUGUGUGCUCUUUAUUAUAUGAAGUGAUUUAUAAAUUGAAAUUGUACCAAAACAAAACAAUUAACUCCGAUCGUAAUUGAGGCUGUCCCAAAAACAGAAAAAUGUUCUUUCAACUAAAAGUAACGGAAAACGCAACAAAUUAAUUGAUGAACAAUGCUCGGCACGAGAGAAAGAUAGAGAUAGACAGGGGGAGAGUUGGGGUGGGGGCAAAACAGUAAAAAGGCGAGGCGUAUGACAAGGAGGGCAAUGUACAAAAUGGCGCUGCUCGAAUGAAUGACCGCUGCGAGAGACAGAAUGACAAUAUCAAAGAGAGCAAGAGAGAGAAAUAAUCCUGAUCCACACAAAGUUGGAUUUGCAUUUGAAUUUCUUGCAUGUUUGCAUUAGUAUUGGUGGCCACCGUACGCUUGCUCUGCUGCUGCUCAACAAUGCAUACCUCGUCGACUGCUGGCGAUAUCGAGGCUGCGCUGGACGUGUAACUACCGCUGCUGACUGCGACUGCGACGCCACUGCCGCCGCCGUUGGCAGCCAUUAUGCUAGCAAUGGGGGCAGCACUGCCAAAGGUUGCGGUGCGCCAAAUGCUGCUGCAGAUGCCGCUGAUUAGAUUUGUGCUGCCGCCGUGAUAAUGAUUGUUGUUGUGGUUACUGUUGUUGUUAUUAUUGUUGUUCGUAUUGUUAUUAUUAUUAGACAGUUGUAAGCUCAGAUUACGAUUGGCAUUCGCAUUAUUGUUGCUCUCGCUGCUGUUCUCCGCUGCCGCUGCUGCUGCUGGCGUCGACGUUGGCGGCACACUCAAACUGACGCUGGUGCUGUUAGUUGCAGUUGUGCUGGCACCGCUGCUGCUAAAGCUGCCACUGCCACUAAUGCUGCUGCUCCCACUGGGUGGACAUAACAGUUCAAUGCUACCGGCAGCCCCUCCACCGCUGCUGCUGCCACUGCCUUCACUGCUGCUGCCCCGACCACCGCCGCCGCCAGCGCCGCUGCCGCCAUUGGGCGAUGCGCUAAUUCCGCUGCGCGCAAACAUUAAGCGAGGUGCGUAAGUCUCUCUUGCGAAAGCUUCAACUCUUUUCAACUCUCUCUCUUCCGAUGCGCUCUCUUUGUGUGUGAAACGUCUAUCACUCGUCUCACUCACUCACUUACGCAGAGUCGCUGCUCUGCUCACUGUGGACUUUUGUUCGCGCUGUCUUCGUGUGAAUGCACGAUUAAAUUAUUCACAAAUUGCGUCUUUUGAUGAUGCGCUGCGCGUCGCUUCCCUUUGCUCUUCGCUAUCUUCUGCUGUUUUGUUUUGUUUGCUUAACAAAAACAAACCAUCAAUGUCUUAUGAGGCAAAGAGAGGACGUUGCGCUCCUCUCUCUCUUUCUCUCCCGGUUUCUUGAAAUCCGUAUUCUAAUUUGCGGCGUUCGUUUAACUUUUGUAGACACCGCAAACUUGGCAGUUGAAUUGCAUUUUUUUUGUUGUUAUUUAUUUUAAUUUAUUUUGUUGCUUUUCUUUUGCUUUAAAGCUGCUCGUGGCGCGCACGUGUGAAAAAGAACAACAGAAAUAAAUACAUAUUAAAUCACAUUUAAAUUGCUGCCCCAAGGUUGUCACACAUUGAGGGGCCACGAAAUAUAUAAAUUACAAACAACGUAAGAAUAUUGAAUUCGCCUUCAGAAAUUGAUAUUGGCCGGCCAAGUGAUCUGAUCUACAACUCGUCCGCUUUGUGUUAGCUUUGAGACUGACGACACAACCCAAAAAAAUAAAAAUAAAAACUGACGACGACCAGUCAAUGACUUUGGCUUUUCCCCUCCCUCCAGGCCCCUUUUCGUAUACACACACAUACUGAUAAAUAAAUAUAUAUAUUUUAAAUGAAUGCCAUACAAUUCAGCUUAAAUGAAAAACCAUCAAAGCCAAUUUAAAAAAGGCAAUCGAACGUGUUGCGAAUUUGAGUAAAGCGCCCAACAACACAACAAUAAAAAAAAACAACAUUCAACAUUCAGAACGACAACAAAAAUAAACAGCAGCUGUUGAAUGGAACUUGUUGAUCGG